CCUCCGGGAGGCAGCAGUGGGGAAUAUUGGACAAUGGGCGAAAGCCUGAUCCAGCCAUGCCGCGUGUGUGAAGAAGGUCUUCGGAUUGUAAAGCACUUUAAGUUGGGAGGAAGGGCAGUAAAUUAAUACUUUGCUGUUUUGACGUUACCGACAGAAUAAGCACCGGCUAACUCUGUGCCAGCAGCCGCGGUAAUACAGAGGGUGCAAGCGUUAAUCGGAAUUACUGGGCGUAAAGCGCGCGUAGGUGGUUCGUUAAGUUGGAUGUGAAAUCCCCGGGCUCAACCUGGGAACUGCAAUCAAAACUGACGAGCUAGAGUAUGGUAGAAGGUGGUGGAAUUUCCUGUGUAGCGGUGAAAUGCGUAGAUAGAGGAAGGAACACCAGUGGCGAAGGCGACCACCUGGACUGAUACUGACACUGAGUCGCGAAAGCGUGGGGAGCACACAGGAUUAGAUACCCGUGUAUUC
rnacentral:rRNA from 1 species